rnacentral:SRP_RNA from 1 species
AAACGGGCGAGUGCUGUACGGCCAGCUCCCUUCGAAUCCCCCAGGGCUUGACCGCAGCAAGGGUAGUUUGGUUGUAGCGGCGCGAUGCAGUUAGCUUGCCCACC